CCUACGGGGGGCAGCAGUAGGGAAUCUUCCACAAUGGACGAAAGUCUGAUGGAGCAACGCCGCGUGAGUGAAGAAGGGUUUCGGCUCGUAAAGCUCUGUUGGUAGUGAAGAAAGAUAGAGGUAGUAACUGGCCUUUAUUUGACGGUAAUUACUUAGAAAGUCACGGCUAACUACGUGCCAGCAGCCGCGGUAAUACGUAGGUGGCAAGCGUUGUCCGGAUUUAUUGGGCGUAAAGCGAGUGCAGGCGGAUCCAUAAGGCUGAUUUUGAAGCCUUCUGCUCAACCCGGGCAUUUCAUCAGAAACAG
rnacentral:rRNA from 1 species